rnacentral:lncRNA from 1 species
GAUUGUGGUGGUGGAGCUAAUGACAUGUGUGCAGAAACUCUUCUGAAUGGGACUUCCCUGAUCCUGUUUUUACCUGAUCUUCAUGCUCAAUAGAAAAAGCCUCAGCUUUGGAAUCAGGUGGGUUUUGAAAAUGCAUAGAAGAAAUUGUUUUUUUGUUGUUCAGGGGACUGCUAAUCUUGUUGAACCUUAAGUCUUACGAAGGAUGUAAUUUUCUUAAGUCAGCAUUUUGAAAGCUGUUUGCUAUUCGAAAGCUGUUUGUCUAGCUUUCAAACUGUCCCUUAAUAGCCAUCAUGGCCUUGACUCACAGCUCUACCAGUUUCUCUGGGUAGGUCACUCAGCCUUUUUGGGGGGCGGACAUGGAGGCUCUUCUAAGGGGUGAUUUUCAACCCAGUAGCAAGUGUCCUCCUCACUGGGGAUCUCACACUCUGGGUCAUCCACUUAUGGAAGUAUCUUGAACUCACUUGCCUCAAGACUGAAUUAAAGGUAGCAUAAGGCUGACUACAAUGGGGAAAAGUACACGGGUUUGGCUGUGUGUCUUGUCAGAUGAUUAGAAGUGCCAAAAACACAUAAAUGGUUUGUCUCUGGCCAUAACUUCAAAGCUGAUGGAGCUCUCACAGCAGCCGUGGAAAAUGGAUAAGAAAAGACUGCAGAUGUCCACAGAUGACUCAGGAAUAUUGCAGGCUAAUCUCCCCUCCUCCUCAUUCAGCAGCAGCCUUUGUCUCUUUAACUUUAUACCUUGGCUGCCUUUCUACCUUUAGCUCCAUUUGGAAAAUGACCCCAUCUGGGCUGUUUACUCUGGUUCUCACCUAUCAUUUUCUGAGGACCCCGUUUCUAGUAUUUCCCCUGGUGGGCAACAUAGUACGGCUGUAGGCAGUAAGUCCCCAGUCCAGCUCAGGAUUCUGGGACUACCCUCCAACCCAACCCAAGCCUCAUUUGUCAGAGAUGGGGGACGGAAAUGGUUGUCAGAGGUUAUGGGACUGGGAACCUGUUAUUCAGGACCUGGAUUAGGGUGAGGUGGGUGAGGCUGAGUCUUCCAAGUCAUGGGUCAAUUCCUGUCUGUUUUACGUGUAUGUAUACAUUGAUAUUGUUGCCUUAAGUGCAUUUAGUUUUUGACCACUAGAAUAGAUAAAUAUGUGCAGUCACUCCACUUCUAGUCUCUAUUUCCUAAAAUUUCUAAGAAAUCCAUGGUUUAUGUUUUCCCCACUACAUGUGUAAUCACAUCUUUCCACUUUGGUCGAUUGACUUCCUACCUUCCUUCUUUCCUUCCUUUCCUAUCUCUUUCUUUCUUUCUUUCUUUCUUUCUUUCUUUCUUUCUUUCUUUCUUUCUUUCUUUCUUUCUUUCUUUCCUUUCUUUCUUUCUUUUUCUUUCUUUCUUUCUCUUUCUCUUUCUUUCUUCCUUUUUUCUUUCUUUCUUCUUUCUUUUUCUUUCUCUCUCUCUCUCUGUCUUUUCUUUUUUUCUUUUUUUACUUUACGUUCUGGGAUACAUGUGCAGAACGUGCAGGUUUCUAACAUAGGUAUACGUGUGCCAGGGUGGUUUGCUGCACCUAUCAACCUGUCAUCUAGGUUUUAAGCCCCACGUGCAUUAGGUAUUUGUCCUAAUGCUCUCCCUCCCCUUGACCCCCAUCCCCCGACAGGCCCUGGUGUGUGAUGUUCCCCUCCCUGUGUCCAUGUGUUCUCAUUGUUCAACUCCCACUUAUGAGUGAGAACAUGUGGUAUUUGGUUUUCUGUUCCUGUGUUAGUUUGCUGAGAAUGAUGGCUCCCAGCUUCAUCCAUGUCCCUGCAAAGGACACGAACUCAUUCUUUUUUAUGGCUGAAUAGUAUUCCAUGGUGUAUAUGUGCCACAUUUUCUUUAUCCAGUCUGUCAUUGACGGGCACUUGGGUUGGUCCCAAGUCUUUGCUAUUGCAAAUAGUGCUUCAAUAAGCUUACGUGUGCAUGUAUGUUUAUAGUAAAAUGAUUUAUAAUCCUUUGGGUAUAUACCCAGUAAUGGGAUUGCCAGGUCAAAUGGUAUUUCUAGUUCUAGAUCCCUGAGGAAUAGCCACACUGUCUUCCACAACGGUUGAACUAAUUUACACUCCCACCAACAGUGUAAAAGCAUUCGUAUUUCUCUACAUCCUCUCCAGCAUCAGUUGUUUCCUGACUUUUUAAUAAUCACCAUUCUAACUGGCAGGAGAUGGUGUCUUAUUAUGGUUUUGAUUUGCAUUUCUCUAAUGCUUUGGUCGAUUUUCUAGGCACUAAAGAACAAGCCACUUUUCUACUGCAAAUGAUAGUAUCUGUGCUAUAAAUAGCAAACAGCUUUUAAAAUGCUAACUUACUUUAAGGUAGUUACAUCAUUCAUAAGACUUAACAUAUUUUAAUAUAAUUUUAGGUUUUGGAAAUUCAUAUGAGAAUUUUUUUUGGUCAUUCACAUGAUUUUCCCUUAAUUUAAAUAAUUUCAAACCCAACUUUGAACUUGCAGCUUCCCAGUGAACACCGAGAGUUGAGUUUAGCAACUGUUUGGACUGGCCAUGUAACAGGUAAGAUGACACACCCAGGGCAUCUGGUGCCCUAAUACAUCAGGCACAUACUAGGCUCAAAGCAUAUUGAUGACACGAAUGACUCCCUCCCUUUUCCCCAGUACCAGGUUCUUCCCUCUAUGUAUCUUGGAUGGUCUAAUCAGUGUGCAGUGAUACCGUUAACUCAGGAAAGUUGUAUUAACCACUGGACCAACCAACUAUUUUCCUGUUACAUUGAUAUUAAUCAACCAAAAAGGCUAGCCUUUCUAAAGCAUGCAAACAGGCAAACAGAAACGCCAGUUUCAAUGUUUAUAUCUUAGUCCAUCUGGACUGGAAAGAAUUAGAGAGCUGAAAAAAAAAUCAAAGAGAGAAAAUUAAAUAAACUACCAAAGAGAAAUUCAUGAUGUUCCCUCCCACAAAUGAGUUUAUUAGCAUAAAUAUAUUGAUGAGGUCCAAGACGCAACUUGUAAGACAUUUUAAGUUACACAGGUAUCAUCAGUUAACAGGCAAUAUUUACUAUCUAGUGUUGUGAUCCUG